GAUGAACGCUGGCGGCGUGCCUAAUACAUGCAAGUCGAGCGAACGGACGAGAAGCUUGCUUCUCUGAUGUUAGCGGCGGACGGGUGAGUAACACGUGGAUAACCUACCUAUAAGACUGGGAUAACUUCGGGAAACCGGAGCUAAUACCGGAUAAUAUUUUGAACCGCAUGGUUCAAAAGUGAAAGACGGUCUUGCUGUCACUUAUAGAUGGAUCCGCGCUGCAUUAGCUAGUUGGUAAGGUAACGGCUUACCAAGGCAACGAUGCAUAGCCGACCUGAGAGGGUGAUCGGCCACACUGGAACUGAGACACGGUCCACACUCCUACGGGAGGCAGCAGUAGGGAAUCUUCCGCAAUGGGCGAAAGCCUGACGGAGCAACGCCGCGUGAGUGAUGAAGGUCUUCGGAUCGUAAAACUCUGUUAUUAGGGAAGAACAUAUGUGUAAGUAACUGUGCACAUCUUGACGGUACCUAAUCAGAAAGCCACGGCUAACUACGUG
rnacentral:rRNA from 1 species